rnacentral:rRNA from 1 species
CCUACGGGAGGCAGCAGUGGGGAAUAUUGGACAAUGGGCGAAGCCUGAUCCAGCCAUGCCGCGUGUGUGAAGAAGGCCUUCGGGUUGUAAAGCACUUUCAGUGGGGAAGAAAGCCUUGGGGCUAAUACCCUCGAGGAAGGACAUCACCCACAGAAGAAGCACCGGCUAACUCCGUGCCAGCAGCCGCGGUAAUACGGAGGGUGCGAGCGUUAAUCGGAAUUACUGGGCGUAAAGCGCGCGUAGGCGGUCUGAUAAGCCGGUUGUGAAAGCCCCGGGCUCAACCUGGGAACGGCAUCCGGAACUGUCAGGCUAGAGUGCAGGAGAGGAAGGUAGAAUUCCCGGUGUAGCGGUGAAAUGCGUAGAGAUCGGGAGGAAUACCAGUGGCGAAGGCGGCCUUCUGGACUGACACUGACGCUGAGGUGCGAAAGCGUGGGUAGCAAACAGGAUUAGAUACCCGAGUAGUC